rnacentral:rRNA from 1 species
AUUGAACGCUGGCGGCAUGCUUUACACAUGCAAGUCGAACGGCAGCGCGGGCUUCGGCCUGGCGGCGAGUGGCGAACGGGUGAGUAAUGCACCGGAACGUGCCCAGCUGUGGGGCGUAGUCCGGCGAAAGCCGGAUUAAUACCGCAUACGAGCUGGGGGGGAAAGCGGGGGAUCGAGAAGGCUCGCGGUAUUGGAGCGGGCGAUGUCGGAUUAGCUAGUUGGUGGGGUAAAGGCCUACCAAGGCGACGAUCCGUAGCUGGUCUGGGAGGACGAGCAGCCACACUGGGACUGAGACACGGCCCAGACUCCUACGGGAGGCAGCAGUGGGGAAUCUUGGAGAAUGGGGGCAAACCUGAUCCAGCCAUGCCGCGGGCGGGAAGAAGGCCUUCGGGUUGUAAACCGCUUUUGUUCGGGAAGAAAUCCUCUGGGCUAAUACCCCGGGGGGAGGACGGUACCGGAAGAAUAAGCACCGGCUAACUACGUG